UGCUAAUACCGAAUGUGCCUUAGGGUGAAAGAUUUAUUGUCUAGAGAUUGGCUCGCGUCAGAUUAGCUAGUUGGAGUGGUAACGGCACACCAAGGCGACGAUCUGUACUUGGUCUGAGAGGAUGACCAGGCACACUGGAACUGAGACACGGUCCAGACUCCUACGGGAGGCAGCAGUGGGGAAUUUUCCGCAAUGGGCGAAAGCCUGACGGAGCAAUACCGCGUGAGGGAGGACGGCUUUUGGGUUGUAAACCUCUUUUAUCAGGGAAGAAUCGAUGACGGUACCUGAUGAAUCAGCAUCGGCUAACUCCGUGCCAGCAGCCGCGGUAAUACGGAGGAUGCAAGCGUUAUCCGGAAUUAUUGGGCGUAAAGCGUCCGUAGGUGGUUUAUCAAGUCUGCUGUCAAAGCGUGCGGCUUAACCGCAUAAGGGCAGUGGAAACUGAUGAACUAGAGUGCGAUAGGGGUAACAGGAAUUCCCAGUGUAGCGGUGAAAUGCGUAGAUAUUGGGAAGAACACCAGCGGCGAAAGCGUGUUACUGGGUCUGCACUGACACUGAGGGACG
rnacentral:rRNA from 1 species